UCGAGGAUCUUCGUCAAUGGGCGCAAGCCUGAACGAGCGACGCCGCGUGUGCGAUGAAGGCCUUCGGGUUGUAAAGCACUGUCGAGGGGGAUCAAGGGCAACUUGAGUGAUCCCUGGAGGAAGGGCGGGCUAAGUUCGUGCCAGCAGCCGCGGUAAGACGAACUGCCCAAACGUUGUUCGGAAUCACUGGGCUUAAAGGGCGCGUAGGCGGCGAUAAAAGUCAGGGGUGAAAUCCGGCAGCUCAACUGUCGAAGUGCCUUUGAUACUUUAUCGCUCGAGGGAGGUAGGGGUGUGUGGAACUUCUGGUGGAGCGGUGAAAUGCGUUGAUAUCAGAAGGAACGCCGGUGGCGAAAGCGACGCACUGGACCUCUUCUGACGCUGAGGCGCGAAAGCUAGGGGAGCAAACGG
rnacentral:rRNA from 1 species